UACGGAGGAUGCGAGCGUUAUCCGGAUUUAUUGGGUUUAAAGGGUGCGUAGGCGGGAUGCCAAGUCAGCGGUAAAAAUGCGGUGCUCAACGCCGUCGAGCCGUUGAAACUGGCGUUCUUGAGUGGGCGAGAAGUGCGCGGAAUGCGUGGUGUAGCGGUGAAAUGCAUAGAUAUCACGCAGAACUCCGAUUGCGAAGGCAGCGCACCGGCGCCCUACUGACGCUCAGGCACGAAAGCGUGGGUAUCGAACAGG
rnacentral:rRNA from 1 species